rnacentral:lncRNA from 1 species
GCUACAUGGUCACCCCGGCCUGCCCACGCGAGAGAGCGCAUGCAAACGCUUGGGGAGACGCGAGCGGCGAAUGGUGGGAAGGGACGGGGAGCCGACCUGACCGGGAAGACUGAGACAGGGUUUCUACAUAGCCCUGGCGAUUUUGGAACUCACUGUGUAGAGUAGGCUCAUGGAGAUCUGCCUGCCUCUUCCUCCUGAGUUCUGGGGUUAGAGGCAGUGCCACCACCCCAGCAGAGGAAGUUAACAUUUAAAUUUCUGAACUUUGAGUAAAGCAUAUCAGCCAUUGUGAUGUGGAUGGGUGUCAUCUCAUCGACCGAAGUGCUAAUUAGAAUGAAGAGGCUGACCUGCUCGGAGCAACAUGGAACUCUUCAGAAGACUGCCUUUGAAUAGCAUUGUUAACGUUGGUGUUUUCAGUGUUUCUUGGCAGACCGACGGCUUUUGAGUUCUUUUGAGUCUCCAGCCUGAAUAUCUUGGAACUGAUAGCCUCCACAAGAG